rnacentral:sRNA from 1 species
GCUGGGUGUGAUGGCUCAUGCCUGUAAUCCCAGCUGCUAGAGAGGCUGAGGCUGGAGGAUUGUGAAUUCAAAGCCAGCCUCAG